rnacentral:lncRNA from 1 species
CUUUCUGUCUCUCCUUAAAUAGCUUUUGAACCGGCCGGACGACUAACAACGUAGCAGCCGGGCAGCAACCUCAGGAACGUCAGGUUCCCGCGGAUGUGAUUAAAGCUGGCACCAUGCGAGAGACAGGAAAAAUCCCAUCAUGGCCCGGAGCCACAGGAAACAGGCUUUAGCGGUUCCACGGCUGCAGAAAAAACCCUUGUUCUGCAGGAAUAUUUGGCUUCCUUGGUAUUUUAGGGUGACUUUGUGUUGAGCGUUACGCUUCUCCUCUCCCCCUGCAGCAGCUUCUGAUGCCAAAUAGGGAGGGACCCCGCACGCGACUCUGACCCCAACUGCAAGGGAUAGCUGGGCGCAAAUGCCAGCGGUGGUGUCACCUUGAUGCUACCCAACCUGCAAGAGGGACAUGUCUUCUCCUGCCCCUCCAGAGCACGAGGUGACUUUGCCCGUCACGGUGCCACUCGGGAAAGUCCCCGGGUGCCCAGGGCUGCAGCGUGGGAGCCGCUGUGGCUCAGCCCCGUCCUGCCCGCGUGGACGCGACCUGCUGCUGCUGCCUGAAGGACGCCGGUUCCCGUCACGUUGCUCCUCUGAGGGCAAAUUUCAAUAUGUUACUACUUUUCUCGCACCAUCUGGAGACUAAAUCAGCACCUAGAAAAUAACACUAGUGUUUUAAUUAUUAUUUUUUAAAUUAGAUUAGACUUUUCUUCAGGAUUUCCUGCUUCCCAUCAGAACAUUUACAUGUAACCGGCAUUUCUGGCCUCUUUUCUGUGAUGGCGGGGCAGGUUUUCCCGGGCCAGUCAGAGACUGUACACAUCCACGUUUCUUUUUCCGACCGCGCACGCCACCCCUCUCCUUCCUCCUCCAGCAAAUCCAGGUCCGCGCUGCCCUGGCGCGGGGGGAGAGCGGGGUCCGGCCAUGCCAGGGGCACGGCGAGGRGCUCAGCCGGCUGCCGGGCAUUUGCCUUUACCCCUUCGCAGACUGGUUUGUUGGUGCGAACUGGUGGGGUUCAUGGGCUGGGGCUUUCCCUUGGUCUUCGUCCCCRGAACAAGGCGGUUAAAGGCUC